CCCUUAGAUGUCCUGGGCCGCACACGCGCUACACUGAUGCAUUCAACGAGUAUUUCCUUGGCCGAGAGGCCUGGGCAAUCUUUUAAACCUGCAUCGUGAUAGGGAUAGAUUAUUGCAAUUAUUAAUCUUGAACGAGGAAUUCCUAGUAAACGCAAAUCAUCAAUUUGCAUUGAUUACGUCCCUGCCCUUUGUGCACACCGCCCGUCGCACCUACCGAUUGAAUGGUCCGGUGAAAUCUCGGGAUUGUGGCCAGUUCACUUUAUUGGGAGUUGGCUGCGAGAACUUGCUUAAACCUUAUCAUUUAGAGGAAGGUGAAGUCGUAACA
rnacentral:rRNA from 1 species